rnacentral:rRNA from 1 species
GAUGAACGCUGGCGGCGUGCUUAACACAUGCAAGUCGAACGGUGAAGGCGGAGCUUGCUCUGCUGGAUCAGUGGCGAACGGGUGAGUAACACGUGAGCAAUCUGCCCCUGACUCUGGGAUAAGCGCUGGAAACGGCGUCUAAUACUGGAUACGAGCUGCGAAGGCAUCUUCAGCAGCUGGAAAGAAUUUCGGUCAGGGAUGAGCUCGCGGCCUAUCAGCUUGUUGGUGAGGUAAUGGCUCACCAAGGCGUCGACGGGUAGCCGGCCUGAGAGGGUGACCGGCCACACUGGGACUGAGACACGGCCCAGACUCCUACGGGAGGAAGCAGUGGGGAAUAUUGCACAAUGGGCGAAAGCCUGAUGCAGCAACGCCGCGUGAGGGACGACGGCCUUCGGGUUGUAAACCUCUUUUAGCAGGGAAGAAGCGAAAGUGACGGUACCUGCAGAAAAAGCGCCGGCUAAGUACGUG